rnacentral:rRNA from 1 species
ACGCACGCUGGCGGCGUGCUUAACACAUGCAAGUCGAACGGUGAAGCGCCUUCCUUUUUGGUGGGUGUGGAUGAGUGGCGAACGGGUGAGUAACACGUGAGUAACCUGCCCCCUUCUUCUGGAUAACCGCAUGAAAGUGUGGCUAAUACGGGAUAUUCUGGGUCUGUCGCAUGAUGGGUCUGGGAAAGAUAUUGUUUCGGUGGGGGAUGGGCUCGCGGCCUAUCAGCUUGUUGGUGGGGUGAUGGCCUACCAAGGCGGUGACGGGUAGCCGGCCUGAGAGGGUGGACGGUCACACUGGGACUGAGACACGGCCCAGACUCCUACGAGAGGCAGCAGUGGGGAAUAUUGCACAAUGGGCGCAAGCCUGAUGCAGCGACGCCGCGUGAGGGAUGGAGGCCUUCGGGUUGUGAACCUCUUUCGCCAGUGAAGCAGGCCUGCCUCGUUUGUGGGUGGGUUGACGGUAGCUGGAUAAGAAGCGCCGGCUAACUACGUG